rnacentral:rRNA from 1 species
AGAGUUUGAUCCUGGCUCAGGAUGAACGCUGGCGGCGUGCUUAACACAUGCAAGUCGAACGAACCUUCGGGUUAGUGGCGGACGGGUGAGUAACGCGUGGGAAUCUGCCCUCAGGAGGGGGAUAACGGCUGGAAACGGCCGCUAAUACCCCAUAUGCCGAGAGGUGAAAUGAAUUUCGCCUGAGGAUGAGCCCGCGUCUGAUUAGCUAGUUGGUGUGGUAAUGGCUCACCAAGGCUUCGAUCAGUAGCUGGUCUGAGAGGAUGAUCAGCCACACUGGGACUGAGACACGGCCCAGACUCCUACGGGAGGCAGCAGUGGGGAAUUUUCCGCAAUGGGCGAAAGCCUGACGGAGCAACGCCGCGUGAGGGAUGAAGGCCUCUGGGCUGUAAACCUCUUUUUUCAAGGAAGAAGACCUGACGGUACUUGAAGAAUAAGCCACGGCUAAUUCCGUGCCAGCAGCCGCGGUAAUACGGGAGUGGCAAGCGUUAUCCGGAAUUAUUGGGCGUAAAGCGUCCGCAGGCGGCCCUGAAAGUCUGUCGUUAAAGCGUGGAGCUCAACUCCAUUUAAGCGAUGGAAACUACAGGGCUAGAGUGUGGUAGGGGCAGAGGGAAUUCCCGGUGUAGCGGUGAAAUGCGUAGAUAUCGGGAAGAACGCCAGUGGCGAAGGCGCUCUGCUGGGCCAUAACUGACGCUCAUGGACGAAAGCCAGGGGAGCGAAAGGGAUUAGAUACCCCUGUAGUCCUGGCCGUAAACGAUGAACACUAGGUGUCGGGGGAAUCGACCCCCUCGGUGUCGUAGCCAACGCGUUAAGUGUUCCGCCUGGGGAGUACGCACGCAAGUGUGAAACUCAAAGGAAUUGACGGGGGCCCGCACAAGCGGUGGAGUAUGUGGUUUAAUUCGAUGCAACGCGAAGAACCUUACCAGGGUUUGACAUCCUGCGAAUCCCUUGGAAACGAGGGAGUGCCUUCGGGAGCGCAGAGACAGGUGGUGCAUGGCUGUCGUCAGCUCGUGUCGUGAGAUGUUGGGUUAAGUCCCGCAACGAGCGCAACCCACGUCGUUAGUUGCCAGCAUUCAGUUGGGCACUCUAGCGAGACCGCCGGUGAUAGACCGGAGGAAGGUGUGGAUGACGUCAAGUCAUCAUGCCCCUUACAUCCUGGGCUACACACGUACUACAAUGCUACGGACAAAGGGCAGCAAGCUCGCGAGAGUUAGCAAAUCCCAUAAACCGUGGCUCAGUUCAGAUCGUAGGCUGCAACUCGCCUACGUGAAGGAGGAAUCGCUAGUAAUCGCAGGUCAGCAUACUGCGGUGAAUACGUUCCCGGGCCUUGUACACACCGCCCGUCACACCAUGGAAGUUGGCCACGCCCGAAGUCGUUACUCCAACCCUUGUGGAGGAGGACGCCGAAGGUGGGGCUGAUGACUGGGGUGAAGUCGUAACAAGGUA